GCUCAGGAUGAACGCUAGCUACAGGCUUAACACAUGCAAGUCGAGGAGUAGCAGGGUAGCAAUACCGCUGACGACCGGCGCACGGGUGAGUAACACGUAUCCAACCUUCCCAUAACUCAGGGAUAGCCUUUCGAAAGAAAGAUUAAUACCUGAUAGUACUUAAGAAAGGCAUCUUUUUUAAGUUAAAGAUUUAUUGGUUAUGGAUGGGGACGCGUUCCAUUAGAUAGUUGGUGAGGUAACGGCUCACCAAGUCUUCGAUGGAUAGGGGUUCUGAGAGGAAGGUCCCCCACAUUGGUACUGAGACACGGACCAAACUCCUACGGGAGGCAGCAGUGAGG
rnacentral:rRNA from 1 species